rnacentral:SRP_RNA from 1 species
GCCAGGCGCGGUGGCUCAUGCCUGUAAUCCCAGCACUUUGGGAGGCUGAGGUGGGUGGAUCACCUGAGGUCAGGAAUUCUACACCAGCCUGACCAACAUGGAGAAACCCCAUCUCUA